GACGAACACUGGCGGCGUGCUUAACACAUGCAAGUCGAACGGUAAGGCCCUUCGGGGUACACGAGUGGCGAACGGGUGAGUAACACGUGGGUGAUCUGCCCUGCACUUCGGGAUAAGCCUGGGAAACUGGGUCUAAUACCGGCUAGGACUCCUGGCUUCAUGGUUGGGGGUGGAAAGCUUUUGCGGUGUGGGAUGGGCCCGCGGCCUAUCAGCUUGUUGGUGGGGUAAUGGCCUACCAAGGCGACGACGGGUAGCCGGCCUGAGAGGGUGACCGGUCACACUGGGACUGUGAUAAGGCCCAGACUCCAACGAGAAGCAGCAGUGGGGAAUAUUGCACAAUGGGCGGAAGCCUGAUGCAGCGACGCCGCGUGAGGGAUGACGGCCUUCGGGUUGUAAACCUCUUUCAGCACCGACGAAGCGCAAGUGACGGUAGGUGCAGAAGAAGGACCGGCCAACUACGUGCCAGCCGCCGCGGUAA
rnacentral:rRNA from 1 species